rnacentral:rRNA from 1 species
GACGAACGCUGGCGGCGUGCUUAACACAUGCAAGUCGAACGGUAAGGCUCCAGCUUGCUGGGGUACACGAGUGGCGAACGGGUGAGUAACACGUGGGUGACCUGCCCUGCACUUCGGGAUAAGCCUGGGAAACUGGGUCUAAUACCGGAUAGGACCGCACCGUGAGGGUGUGGUGGAAAGUUUUUUCGGUGUGGGAUGGGCCCGCGGCCUAUCAGCUUGUUGGUGGGGUAAUGGCCUACCAAGGCGGCGACGGGUAGCCGGCCUGAGAGGGUGGACGGCCACAUUGGGACUGAGACACGGCCCAGACUCCUACGGGAGGCAGCAGUGGGGAAUAUUGCACAAUGGGCGGAAGCCUGAUGCAGCGACGCCGCGUGGGGGAUGACGGCCUUCGGGUUGUAAACUCCUUUCACCAUCGACGAAGGGUUUCUGACGGUAGAUGGAGAAGAAGCACCGGCUAACUACGUGCCAGCAGCCGCGGUAAUACGUAGGGUGCGAGCGUUGUCCGGAAUUACUGGGCGUAAAGAGCUCGUAGGUGGUUUGUCGCGUCGUCUGUGAAAUUCCGGGGCUUAACUCCGGGCGUGCAGGCGAUACGGGCAUAACUUGAGUACUGUAGGGGAGACUGGAAUUCCUGGUGUAGCGGUGAAAUGCGCAGAUAUCAGGAGGAACACCGGUGGCGAAGGCGGGUCUCUGGGCAGUAACUGACGCUGAGGAGCGAAAGCAUGGGGAGCGAACAGGAUUAGACACCCUGGUAGUCCAUGCCGUAAACGGUGGGCGCUAGGUGUGGGUUUCCUUCCACGGGAUCCGUGCCGUAGCUAACGCAUUAAGCGCCCCGCCUGGGGAGUACGGCCGCAAGGCUAAAACUCAAAGGAAUUGACGGGGGCCCGCACAAGCGGCGGAGCAUGUGGAUUAAUUCGAUGCAACGCGAAGAACCUUACCUGGGCUUGACAUAUACAGGAUCGCGCCAGAGAUGGUGUUUCCCUUGUGGCUUGUAUACAGGUGGUGCAUGGUUGUCGUCAGCUCGUGUCGUGAGAUGUUGGGUUAAGUCCCGCAACGAGCGCAACCCUUGUCUUAUGUUGCCAGCACGUUGUGGUGGGGACUCGUAAGAAACUGCCGGGGUUAACUCGGAGGAAGGUGGGGAUGACGUCAAAUCAUCAUGCCCCUUAUGUCCAGGGCUUCACACAUGCUACAAUGGUCGGUACAGUGGGUUGCCAGUCCGUGAGGGCGAGCUAAUCCCGCAAAGCCGGUCUCAGUUCGGAUCGGGGUCUGCAACUCGACCCCGUGAAGUCGGAGUCGCUAGUAAUCGCAGAUCAGCAACGCUGCGGUGAAUACGUUCCCGGGCCU